GACGAACGCUGGCGGCGUGCCUAACACAUGCAAGUCGGACGAAGUUGCGAACGGGAGAGUAACGCGUAGGUCACUACCUGUUAGACGGGGUUAACUAUUGGAAACGAUAGCUACUACCGCAUACUAGUAGAUGGAACUGCGUUGUAUUAGCUAGUAGGUAGGGUAAUGGCCUACCUAGGCAACGAUACAUAGCCGACCUGAGAGGGUGAGCGGCCAAACUGGGACUGAGACACGGCCCAGACUCCUACGGGAGGCAGCAGUAGGGAAUCUUCGGCAAUGGGGGGAACCCUGACCGAGCAACGCCGCGUGAGUGAGGAAGGUUUUCGGGUCGUAAAGCUCUGUUGUUAAGGAAGCGGUACUUGAACAGAAAGCGACGGCUAACUACGUGCCCGCAGCCGCGGUAAUAC
rnacentral:rRNA from 1 species